AUCCAGAACACCAGAACGGAUCCUUCCCCUCACUGUGAUGCAUCCAGAACAACCAGAACGGAUCCUUCCCCUCACUCUGAUACAUCCAGAACACCCAGAAUGGAUCCUUCCCCUCACUGUGAUGCAUCCAGAACACCCAGAACUUUAUGUCCAAUCUUCAAAAACAAAGAAGACAACAGCUGCCAUUGUUUGUUUUAGCAUGUUGUAGAACAAGCACUGUUCUGAAUGAUAUCAAUUAUAUUUUCUUGUGAUAGAUUCACGUUAAUACAGAAUAAUACAGGUAGAUUACUGGUAAAUAAAUACAGAAUAAUACAGGUAGCCUACUGGCAAAUGAAUACAGAAUAAUACAGGUAGCCUACUGGUAAAUGAAUACAGAAUAAUACAGGUAGCCUACUGGCAAAUGAAUACAGAAUAAUACAGGUAGCCUACUGGUAAAUGAAUACAGAAUAAUACAGGUAGCCUACUGGUAAAUGAAUACAGAAUAAUACAGGUAGCCUACUGGUAAAUGAAUACAGAAUAAUACAGGUAGCCUACUGGUAAAUGAAAUGAAGGUAGCCUACUGAAAUGAAUACAGGUAGCCUACUGGUAAAUGAAUACAGGUAGCCUACUGGUAAAUGAAUACAGAAUAAUACAGGUAGCCUACUGGUAAAUGAAUACAGAAUAAUACAGGUAGCCUACUGGUAAAUUAAUACAGAAUAAUACAGGUAGCCUACUGGUAAAUUAAAGUGUAUCUAUUUGAAAAAGCAGGAGAAGGCUCAAUGUUCAAGACUGUGUUGUGAAUGAUGCUUAUAUUUUUCUCGUUGUGUUUUGUUGGCCUGGGCAUAGCUGGCUAUUGGGCAAUUUGCAUGUAAGUGUAGUACUGUAUUGUACAUUAGGUGAGUUGCUGUUUUUAAUAUUAUAUGAUGAUGUUUAACAAUGAUAAUUAAAUCCAGAAUAGUGGCACUUGGAGUUGUGUACUAUUUUCCAGAUACAUUUAACAUUAGUGUGUACAAUAUUGCCUGUGUGUAUGGUCUGUUUGCUGGGUUAGAGAGGGAAGUAUACUACAGUAAUGGUGUGUAUGGUCUGUUUGCUGGGUUAGAGAGGGAAGUAUACUACAGUAAUGGUUUGUAUGGUCUGUUUGCUGGGUUAGAGAGGGAAGUAUACUACAGUAAUGGUUUGUAUGGUCUGUUUGCUGGGUUAGAGAGGGAAGUAUACUACAGUAAUGGUUUGUAUGGUCUGUUUGCUGGGUUAGAGAGGGAAGUAUACUACAGUAAUGGUUUGUAUGGUCUGUUUGCUGGGUUAGAGAGGGAAGUAUACUACAGUAAUGGUUUGUAUGGUCUGUUUGCUGGGAGAGAGAGGGAAGUAUACUACAGUAAUGGUUUGUAUGGUCUGUUUGCUGGGAGAGAGAGGGAAGUAUACUACAGUACUCAUAAAAUUUGAUUUGAUUUGAUUGUGGUAAACAAACUGGUUAUCUAAAACUAGAACUCCUUGAAAAUAUUCCAGCUGUAUUCAGAUCCAUCAAUGGACAGAUGAGAGAGUCGUUGUGUAAAUGUUGUGUAGGGGAGUGGCUCGUGGGGCUUUGGUCAAAAGUAGUGCACUAUAUAGGGAAUAGGGUUCCAUAGGACUCUGGUCUAAAGUAGUGCACUAUAUAGGGAAUAGGGUUCCAUAGGACUCUGGUCUAAAGUAGUGCACUAUAUAGGGAAUAGGGUUCCAUUUGGAACGUAGGUGUAAUGAAGUGAAAGCAGCGUGUGCUCCAGUUGAGAGUUUAGGUCACCAUAGAAACGCAUUCAUUCAUUCAGGAGUGGUUGGGUGGGUGGGAUAUCUCAAUCAGCGUCCACCUGACAGAACAAACAUGGUUUAGUCAUCAACAUCUGGUGUGUUGCCCUACAUCGCCUGGAUACAGAAAGGAAACAACAAACUGCUACGGUACAAAACAGAUACAUUCACUUUAUUUUCUGUUUCGUGACAGGAUCUCUGAGUCUGAUAUGACCUCGAUACAUCUUGGGGGAUUUCCUGUAAGCAGAUGAUAAAACCAUGCGCUGAUCUAAUUGGAUAAAAAUAAUCAAAUUAAAAAAACACUUGACAGGACGUUCAUUGGAUGUUGGAGAAAAACUCUAUAUUGUGUCAGAUGCUGUCUUUAUGUUACUGACAAAACGCUCAGAAUGCAUAUAGAAUCUCAAGGCCAUCAGAAUGUUAUACAGCCAUCACUAACUAAGAGAGGCAGCUGCCUACAUACAGACUAAUCGGCCACUUUAAAAAAUGGAUCACUAGUCACUUUAAUAAUGCCACUUUAAUAGUGUUUACAUAUCUUGCAUUACUCAUCUCAUAUGUAUAUAUUGUAUUUUAUACCGCCUAUUGCAUCUUGCCUGUGCUGCUCUGUCAUUGCUCAUCCAUAUACAGUAUUUAUAUGUAUAUAUUCUUAUUCCAUUCCUUUACUUAGAUUUGUGUGUAUUAGGUAGUUGUUGUGGAAUUGUUAGAUUCCCUGUUAGAUAUUACUGCACUGUCGGAACUAGAAGCACAAUCAUUUCAUUACACUCGCAAUAUCUGCUAACCAUGUGUAUGUGACCAAUACAUUUUGAUUUGAUUUGAAUGGUUUAGUUUAGUUGAUGAGGAGCAACAUUAGCCGCUGUACAUGCAGAAGCCCUUCCUGUGGUCCACAAAUAGAACUGAACAGAAAUACAAAAAAAAAGUUCACACUUUUUUAGCUGAGCUCUGAAACUAAAAUGUGUGAUAAAUAUCAACAUAGUUAGAAGAGGACCAGCUACCCCCCUAGAGGAGGACCAGCUACCCCCUAGAGGAGGACCAGCUACCCUCUAGAGGAGGACCAGCUACCCCCUAGAGGAGGACCAGCUACCCCCUAGAGGAGGACCAGCUACCUCCCUAGAGGAGGACCAGCUACCCCCUAGAGGAGGACCAGCUACCUCACCAGAGGAGGACCAGCUACCCCCUAGAGGAGAACCAGCUACCUCCCUUAGAGGAGAACCAGCUACCUCCCUAGAGGAGGACCAGCUACCCCCUAGAGGAGAACCAGCUACCUC
ensembl:lncRNA